rnacentral:misc_RNA from 1 species
UUAGAGCGCAAUACACGUCAGGUUCUUAUUUUGAUUCGUGGAGGGGGCUCACCUCGAAGAAACGGGUGGCCGAGUCCGAAGGAUUUGCCAGGAAAGUGCAGGAUAUAGGUCGUCAAAUACAGAUUAAACAUGAUACGCGCUGAAAAUGGAGGUAUUGCAUACUUGGAACAGUUAAAGAAUUCGAUAGAGAGUGACGCGACAGAGAAGGCAGUGUCAAAAAAGUGCGAGGAGCAGCUGUCUUUGGUAAAGGCAAACAGCUGUUCGUCCUACAAAGGUGCAAAUCGUACGACAGAAAUGGCGCAAGAGGACAAUAAUCUAUGCUGGAAUAAUCUGCCCAGCAUCAUCCUACAAGAAAUAUUCUCAUAUUUAUCCUACAACUGCCGGUUAAGAGCCUCUCAGGUCUGCAGAAAUUGGAGGUAUGCUCUGUUCCAUCCUCAUUUUUGGAAAAAGAUCACAUUUGUUCUGAAAGAUGAAGACAGUAUAGCAUGGACUCGAUACUUGGCAGAUCAGUUUGAACUUAGUGUGCAAGAAGUUACAAUCAUCUGUGAUAUAUCAAAUUGUUAUGCAAAAGAAACAUUAGCCCUUUUGAACAAACUAAGAUUUAACAGGCAACUUCGUAAAUUGUUUUUGGAACCUAGCAAUAGUACCUUUGAAGAUGAGGGUAGUAAAAAAUACACUAAAUUAUUGGUAUCUUCUGUCAUAAACAUUAUAAACAACUCUGAUCAUUUAGAAGCUCUGAGUUUGGGAUGCAUUGAAGAUUUAACAAUAAAAGCCAGACUAAUUAUGGCACAUUUACGUAACUGUCAGGCAAGACAUUUGACAACUCUUAGUUUGGCACCUGUUAAGGAUGAUCCCAAUGAUUAUAACAUUUUUAAUUCUGGUUAUGGAUAUAUGUUCCACUCAUUUGUCAGAUUAUCUAUUUUAACUCUGGAUUAUGAGUUCCUAAGUAAUUCUUUGCUGAAUGCAUUGGAUAGUGGUACCAUGGAAAGACUUGUAAUUCAUGUACAUGGUUGGAAUUAUCAGUAUUCAGGUACAUCUGAUUAUAGUUGGCAAGUUUUUGUUCAAAAGAAUCCUAAAUGUGAGCUACGACUAACUCUUAUACACUCUUAUAUUGGUAUUAAAAAAUUAGAUACAAAUAUACUUCUUCCUUCCAUGCCCCUUACACAUUUGAAAGUGUUAUUUUGUGAAAACGUUAAUAUCGGAGUAUUACAUCGACUAUCUAGGUGGUAUUCACUUACUUUAAAAUCUUUAAUAUGGAUAGAUUCAGUACAACCUUUCAUAAGCAACGUACCAGCAACAUAUGAUCCAAGUGACCCUCAUGGACCUGAUCCAUUAGUAUUAAUUGCAUGGAAAUGUACCAAACUUGUGGAAAUUGUAUUCAUAGGCCAUAUAUAUCACCAAGAAAACUUGUUAGCUAUUGCACGCUUACGAGGAAACUCACUUAAGUCAUUAGUUUUUGCACAAAGAUUCAUUGCAUCUGACACUGAAUCUUGGCAUGAGACUGAAACCAUUACACAUGAAAUAAAACAAAUAAUGGGGUGCCUAUGGGAACCAUUAAGUGAUGCAGAUUUACCUGCAGUUGUUAAAAGUCCCUUCGAAGGUGAUAGUAGGGAAGUUAUCAUGCCAUUGGUCCUUCGUGACCAAAAGUAAAUUUUAAUUUGCACUAAGGAAAGAUUACUCCCCGAUACCGUACUUUACCGAUCGACAUCAUCAACAAUUUCUGGGCAAGCAACAUUCUCAGAAGUAAGGAUCACACAGAUCCAGUGUGUAAACAGCGAGGAUGAAAACGCACACAAGUUCUCCUUUAUAAUGAUUUUAUUAGUUCCCAUGAGAACAUAAUAAGCCAUAGUUAAGUACGCCU